rnacentral:lncRNA from 1 species
GCUUAUCUCACUUGAUUUAGCAUCUUUGUGGUUUAUACACGUUGUAAUAGGUGUCAGGAUAUCUCCCUUUUCAGGUUAAAUUCUGUACCAUGUAAGUAAUUAUCAGCUUCAUUAUCAGGGAUUUAUAUUAGAGAAACAUUUCUACAGGUGAUGGAGGGAUGUUUGCUACAGGGCCAUCUUGGAGAACGCAAAGUUUGGAUCACCUUUGAUAAGGCUACAGGUGUGUUGAAGAUCAGUCAUUCACUAAAAUGUGAGCUGCAGAGGAAGCUUGGUGGUUUGAUCCGCUUUGGCCAAAAGUAAGCAAAACUGCUGUCCAGAACUGUUGAUGGCAUUGACCUUGAGAAUGCUAUACCAGGUGAAGCUUAUAAAAUUGAUUGUAUUAUAUUUGUCUGUAAAGCAAUGGAAAUGUUUCUGGAGGUUGAACUGGAGAGGUCAAAGAAAGGAGAUGUUUGUUGUUCCAAGAGAUUGUCAGAAGACGAUUCCCUCUGGUGCUUACAAAGAGUCACUUGGGUGCUAGCACAGCCCCCAGAAAGGGGGUUAUCAUGUGCUCCGUGGUAUUGACAAGCUAAAAGGAAGAUCAGCUCUUUGGGACACCUUUGGGGAUCCAUGGAGAACUGGUCUCUCAGCCAACUGACCCAAUUGGCAUGCAUCUUUAGCCUCUGGUGAUUAAGGAGUCUCACCACUAAUGUUUUCUGGACAAAUUCUGUUCACCCCCAGAUCGUCUUAUGACCAGGUAAUCUUGGCUUUCUCUUUUCUACCUUCCUGCUUGAAAGCUUCCUUGCCGUGGGGUCUCACAACUCCUCCUCACAAUGCCCCCUUCCUGUUCCUCUUCCUCCUUUUCCUAGGUUUGCCUCAGAAACAACAACUGCCACUUAUGGGCAGAGUCGUUCAUGCUGGCUUGCACAGUCUCUUCCCAGUGACUAUCACAAGCUCAGGAGGGAAGCCGCUGCUGCACCCACUGUACAGGUGCAGGUGGGGCCCAGAGAACCCUUCAAACCCGAUGCUCAGCAUUCCGUCUCCAGCCACUCCAUGUAACUCUGGAUCACGUGGAUGCAGGGUGGAGAUGUUCGUGAAGUUAAGCCAACCUUUCCUCCGUUUUCCAUGCCACUGCCAGACCAGUGUCUUCCUGUCUUCAGUCUCCUUGGAGCAACGUCAGCAUAUUUCCAGUUCUCUCUUUCUCUCUCUCUCUCUCUGUGUGUGUGUGUGUGUCUGUAUGUGUGUUAGUAUGCACACAUGCACAUAGGUGUUUGAUAAGGCUAGCAUAGGAUGUAGGAUUCCUGGGACCCAGAGUUACAGGCAAUUAUGAGACACCUGACCUGGGAAAUAGGAACCAAACAUGAGUGUUCUGGAAGUACCAUGCUCUUAACCACAGCCAUUUCUCAGGCUCCUCUGGCUUUUUUUAUGCUGUUCUUGCAGGUGCUAAUGGGAGUGGAAGGACCUGUUUUCUCAUGGACUCUACCCUGGAGCUCUGGUUACCUGUUCAGGUGCAGGAUGAGCCCUUUACAGAGUCCAUUUCUUUUUUUCUGUAGGAGAGCUCUGAGGUAAGCCCAGUGAUGGAUUCUGUCAUCUAAUAUAGUCUAAUAUAACAGCAUUGGGCACCUCCAAGGAAUGGAAAGCAUCACUCACUUGCGAAAUCAGGUGACUUCACUAGGGGACAUGGAACUAUAUGAGUCAGAGCUGGGCAAAACAGACUUCCUGGGGCUAAAUGAUGUCAGAAGAUGCCAGUAUAGAAGGCAGGAUACGGUCUGUCAUUCUGAGACUUUGUGGUCUUAAGGCCAAAUAUCAGGGUCCUUUCAGCCCAACGUGAUGCCCUUGAUCUGUUGUUCAGGCUCAUCGGCACUCUGCUCUGAAGAACUCAGGUUAGCCAGUGCUCCAAGGCGACCUGCGCUUGCAACAGCUGUGCUUUCCCAGAAUUCUAGUAUUACUUCCAUCAAGAGCUUUCCAAGGGGCUGGGAAUGUAGCUCAGUUGGCAGAGCGCUGGACUGGCAUAUAUGAAGCCCUGGGUUUGACCUCCAGUGCUGCAUAAGACCAGAUGUAGUAGUGCAUGCUUGUAACCCCAGCGCUUGGGAGAUAGAGGCAGGAGGAUACGUUCAAGGUUAUCCUCAGCUACACAGUGAAUUAGACGUCACAUUGACUAAGACUUUGUCCCCAAAUAGACAUUUCCAGGUUGACAUUUUCAAAAAGGAUUACUUAUUUUUGGUGCGUGCAUGUGUUGUUGCAUGUCAGUUCAUGCACUCCGUGAGUCCCUGGUGUCCACAGAGGCCAGAAGAAGGUAUCAGACUCUUUGAGGUUACUGGAGUUACAGAUGGUUGUAAGCCACCACAUGGCAUCUGGGAACUGAAUCCAGGGCUUCUGGAAGAGCAGGCGGUGGUCUUAAACCACUGAGGCAUCUCUCCAGCCACCCCCAACCCAACACGUAAACAUUUUAAAGCAAAGUUAAGUCCUUUUAGAAUAUAAGUAGAUCCUAUUUAAACUGACAGGACACAUGCACUGGAGGAGGCAGAACAUAGCUCCUAGGCAAAGCUAUAGAGUAGGUACAAUACUUGUAGUCUGUCUGUCUGUCUGUCUGUCUGUCUCUGUGUUUCUGUACAUGUAUGCAGGGAACUGGGGCACACAGGAGGAAAGGGUGCAUAUGAGUGAAUUUCUUGCCCAUUCCUUUCCUUCUUUGCACUACUUUCAAAGUUUAAAAAAUAUGUAUGCAGGCUGCCUGAGGGUGUCCAGAUGGAACUAAAGCCACUGUAGCUAAGUCCAAACAAACCAGAGUCUGGGAAUGUUUCUGAGACGCAGCCCUUGGCCAAGGAACGAACUCUGUUUCGUCUACCCUCGCUACUGGGGAUAUUUUAAAAAGAGAAGUGGGAGCAUGCAACAUGAAGGGAUGGAAAAAUUCGUUCGUCAUCUUUGUGCUGACAGGAGUGGGUGUGUGUUGGAGGGUCAUGCAGGCAGAGGGACAUUCUGCUCAUUGUUGGGUGGGAUGUCUGUCCUUGGCUUAAGGGGAAGGAUAGGGGCCUUCCUGCUCCGGCAGUUGCCCUAGUAUCAGUAACCAGGGCCUCAUUUAGCAAGUGUUGGGGUAAAGCAACUUCUCCCUUGUUGCCGCCCAGCUACAGACUGCCCUAAGUUACUCCAUAUUGUAUCAAACUUUGCUCUCAGGCUGUGCCUUGCCUUGAGAGACUCCCUCUUACAAGCAGUAUUUGACUCCAUUUUGAAUCUAUAUAAAGAGGUAGGGUGACUCUGCACCUCAGUGGCCAUAAAAACAGCUCUAUGUGACACACGCACAGUGUCAAUGUCCAGCUCCAGCAGGAUGGGUGGAGUCCGUGAAGAUUGAGGAAUCUGACCGCUGUUGUCUUUUUAAUAAAUGGCUUGAAUAGCUCAAGCCAUCGUUAUUCACAUAAGCUCUCAAGCAUUCGAGCACCAGCAGUUUCAAUUCUUUCCUCUUGAAUCAUUUCCUAGGAGUCAUUAAUGUUUAGCCAUUUUGUUUCUCUUCCUCUUUUCCCACUCCUGUGUCGUCAUUAAUUGGCCUUUACCGCAUAUCUAAGCAUCAGUGUACCUUGACUUCAUAUCUGAGCAUGAACUUUCUAUUGUAAGCCAAGUGAUUCUAUCUAGCCAGGCACACCUUCUUCGUACUGUACUUAGGCUGGCGACAGACAUGUGGUUACAGAAAUGGAAGACCAACCUCUGUGGUCAGUCUUCAUCAAUACGAUGCUUUCAUAUAUUUGUGGUCAUCAGAAAGUAUGAUACCCUACAUAGAACAAUAUUUUCCAGGUGCAAGUCUAAUUUCUAUGGCCCACAUAUCAUUUUAGUGAGAGCAGUAGUUGUGGUCCUAUUCUUUAUACAUUCUCAAAAGGGUAAUGAUUUAAUACCUAACUCUUAACUGUUGGGAACAAGCUUCUAUUCUUUCUGGCAGUCUCUGCUUGCUCUUUUACCUCCAAGGGAUAGGAGAUUUAGAUUCCUGUGUUGAUGUUUUUGACACUGGAGUGAUGUCUGACUUUUUACAUCCUUUAUUUCUUCCUUAUAUGUCCUAUCAGUUCUAAUGUCAUCUUUUAAGGAGCUAUCUCCUAAGUUCUCAACAAUCAUCUCUUGUUUAGAACAGUUAAGUAAGCAAGAAUCAUUAAUCUCAGCGAGUUCCUCUCGCUUACUCAAGAUGACCGUAGAAGCAGUCAGGGCUGUCAGGGAGAACCAAUUUCUGUUUUUUGAGGGAAAAAAAACAAAAACAAAAACAACCCCCCCCCAAAAAAAACUCCUGGUUCAUCAUAAAUUCAGCCAUAACCAUGACUAACAAAGUGAAACUAAAAAUUACCACAAGAGAAAACACAGCAAAAGCCAAGAGAGCCUGGAGCAUGUGUGCCCCCUAGGAUCGGUGUGGGCUCUGCAAUAUUGUUCCCACAGGUCCUGGCCAAGUAGACAGGGCUCUCCACCAGCCUCGCAUUAAGGAGCUCCGUUUGCAAAACACUCAUUGCAAAACACUCAUGCGCCGUUUGUAGAGAUUACCGCCUGGCUUUUCUACCACCACAAGGCACAGGGUGAUAGAUCGCCUACUUCUGAAAGUAAAUGGGUGCCACUCUGUACAUUUGUUAAGGUAGAUUGAUUGGUUAUCCGCACAUGGGCAUAUUAAAAUUAUACCAGAAAAAUCAAUUCCAAGAAGUCAGCAGGCACAUCAGACGAAGGAACAGGUACAACGUGCUCCCCUGAACCCUUUAAGGAGAGACCACCACCACAUGCCUGGUGUGUGUGUGUGUGUGUGUGUGUGUGUGUGUGUGUGAAGGAAACAACAGGCAGAGAACUCUCAACUCUCCUAGAGAUUUCAGUCCGAUGUUGUACUGCUGUUGAUAAUGACAGUCCUGUUCUGCAUCUCCACCCAAUCCUUAAGUUUGCCUCAACUCUGACCAAGCAGCCUGACUCGGUCUUGGAGGAGUGUCAGUGUGUCUUGGAAGUGGAAAGUUACCUGAGGGCGAAACUUGGAAGAAGUCCCCCUGGACACGUUAAAGUCUCAUCAUCUGCUAAGACUCGAGAAGUCCAACACAGAGGCUGGAGAGACGUCUCAGUGGUUGAGAGCACUUGUGGGAAUACUGGGGUUCAGUUCUUAGCACCCACACGUGGCUCAUAGCUCCCCAUAACUUUAGUCCUAGAGGUUCUGAUGUCCUCUUCUGGCUUCUGUGGGCAAUGCACAAGUGCUAUGUAAGCAUGCCUGUGGGCAAAACCACUCCUAAACUAAAACAAAAUAAAUAUAUUUAAAGAUAAAAAUGUCAGUUUUAAAGAGAAAGAAUCUCAACACAGCUUUAAGAAUGCCUGCUGAAACCCUUUCUUCAUCGCUAACUCUAAACUUAAGAUUUUCUGGAGUUUCAUCUCUUGUUGCACUACAUAGACAUGUCCCCAGUCCUUCCUGCAAACUUAGUUUUAUCUCAGGUUAUAAUUCUAUCCAAGAUUUGCUUAUACCAUCACUUAUGAGAGAGGUGUGUGUAUGUGUGGGACUCUUAACACCAUAUGAGAGUCUGAGGCAUGACUUGAGAACCACCAAGAUGGCUCAAAUGGCUUAGCCUAAGGACACCGAGAUGCAAUUCUUCUUUGAUAAGUACACACACACACACACACACACACACACACACACACACACACACACACGUGUUUGCAAUAUUUUUUCCCUAAGUGUCUUUGUACUUUUAGUAAACUCCCACCCUGUUUUGAAUGCCUUGCCUGAAAUACUUUUUCUAUGCUAUGGCCAAACAUCUAGUUUUCCCUGAUUUGAGGUUCUGAGUUGAGGGAACUCCCAAGGCUUCUGUGGCUACAGAGCAGUAUCUGACCGCCAACACCCCCCCCCCCACUUUCACCAUCCCUGGCCCUGUUGAAGUCCCCAUCCACCCACAGCAUCCAUCCUGCCUGCCCUUUAAUGCUCCCUCGCUGGGCACCCGACUCCAAGAGGUAUUUCCCAAUCCCCAGGGGUAAAUUCACCUCUUUCUGCCCUGGGGAUGAUGCUUUGCCGCCUCAGCCUCAGAGCCUCCAGGCCUCUGUUGUAGGAUUUUGGGGCAGAAGAUAGGAUAGGGAACUGGAGUCUGGCUUGCUUCUUCCUGCCCUGAACUAUCUAAAAUAGCAGUAGCUCUGAAUUUGCAGCCACAUAAGUGGAAAUUAAAUCAAAUGGACAACUUUGAUUCCCUUUUGCAUUAUGCAGAACUUAAGUGUUCUGGAGACAUGCGUCUGGUGGUCACAUGCCAGACAACGAAGGUACAAAGUAGAGAGAACUCCCCCCCCCCCCUUACUGCUGGAGUCCUCAUGGUCAGCUCCCGACUGUCUGACCCUACAUUAAGCUCUAAGCUGGCUCAUAACGAAUAUUUGUUGAUGUAUAGUUUCAGAAGGAGUAAGAGAUCCUGAGGACAUUUGUUCAAUGAAAGCCUCAGGGUCCUUGGACCUGCUCCAAAGACUUCCAAAGGGAAGUUACAGCUGGCCCUAAGGGGCAGUGGCAGGGUGGAAACGAGGAAGGGCCAGGAGCCAAGCAUCUGAUGUUCAUCAUGUCUGCACGUUUGACAGAAGGCUGGGGGUUGAACAGUCACUAUUUGAGAUUUGAGACACAUUUUCUCCUCUAGAUGAGACACAUUUUCGUUCACAGUUUCACACGGGAUCAGAGCCAAGAGUGUGCACUUGAGUGAGAGCAUCGGAGAUUGUCAUAAUGUCUGAGGAUUGCUGUUUCAUUUAUUCCUUAUUUCUCUCUGCUCCCUUGCCCUGCCCAGCCAAACGGCAUGGUUCCUGGGAGACCAGGACACCCUGGGCCGAGGUGACACGGAUGCAUAUGGAGGGUACUCUACUGAGAUAACGAGAAGAGGCCAAUCAAGAGGAAAGAGCUGGGCUCCAGGUCGUUCCCCACCCGAGUCUGGGAAAUCUUCAGCCAUGUGUCAACCUGAACUUCAAAUAGAGGCAGCUCAAGCAAACUGGUUUCCUGGGAAAUCCAGGCUCCGGGUCCUCGUCUGUGUGUGGGAGGCGCUAAGCUGUGUCAGGCUCAAACCAAGAAGCACAUCACGUCCCUUUCAAGAUCUGCUGCCAUCUCUAUAAAUGCUUCAGGGAAUUAAUAUCACAAGAUGGUUUUUAGGACUCCAUGAUAUACCAUUAUGCAUGCCAUUCGCCACAGUUUUCUUAUAUAUCCAGCAACUGGUAGACAGAUGUUUUUAUAUAUAUAUUGUGUGUGUGUGUGUUAUGGUGAGUGUGGCAGUGGACAUGAGUGUGCCAAUGCUUGUGACACACUGAUGUCAUUUCCUAUGACCCAGAAGCAGGAUUGCUAGAUCACACUGUAGUUUUUUAAUUCUUUGAGGAACCUCAUUGCUACUCAUCACGGCACUGUCAACGACUAGAAUUUUCUGGACCACUCAGAUGACUUCAAGGACUGUUUUACUUCUGAUUUGUAGGAUAUAAAAGUUGUGAGGGUGGUGAGCCAACCCUUGUUGGUGUCUGGGCUGUUUGUAGAGCCACAAAAAGGCCAAGGUAUAAGUCACAUUUUUAGCAGACUUUUGGCCUCAAAGUGAGUUACUAGGAGAAAAACUGCUCUGGUCUUGGCUACCCUGUUUUCUCUAAGAUCUUUCCAAAUGUUCCCUAACACACUGGCUCUCUUUUGCUCUAACGUGUUCAUAUGAGCAGCCAGCAGAGCUAGACUGGCCUCUCUGCACAGGGACUCAAGGUUGGUGUCACAUGACAUGAGACCCAACAUUUGUGGGAGCUGGAGUUCCGUCUCAAUGGGCAAAGUGACUAUCAUGCCUGAGCUCAACUCCUUACAAGCCAUGUAAAGUGGGGUGUGGUAGUGUGCACCUGUAAUGGCACUUUCCUAUAGGAAGAUAGGAGGUGGAGACCAGAGAACUCCCAGAAGCUCGAGGGCCAGCUAGCCUGGCAUAUGCAAUGGUGAACAAGAGACUAUGUCUUAAGCAAAGUCCUUUGAUGUCCCUUGGCACUCAUGGCACAAAUGUAUCAUGCCCUACCCCCCAACUAGAAAAAACUAAAAUUUCUCAGAAAAGGAGAGAAAGAAUUGUUGGCCCUGACCCAGGCAGCCAGUAAAACACCCUGCAUUGGACAGUGAAGAGCUAAGGACAUGACUGACCGAUUGCAGGUUGGAGCAGAUGCUUUGAAUGCUAUUGUUCUCUAUCAAGCACCGGUCUCUACCAAAGCCAAGGAGAGGCACCUCAGACCACAAGAACUGAACAGGCAGAGUUCAGAACUGUGCCAUCCCUGGAGACAUGGAACGACAAGGGUUUGUCAGCCAGUUCCAGCAGGAGAUGAGCAGGAACAGGAGAGACACAGUGAUUUCAGCCAGUGCUAACUACUGCUGCUCCUGACACUGUUGAGACCCACAGAGGUUUCAGUGGCUGGGGGUGGGGGCGGGGGUGGGGUCGGUCUGUUGGUGGCCUCUCUCUAGUGUGCACAAAACCCUGGAUGUUAUCAGCAGGUGCUCACAGUAGGUGUUAUCACAGCGCCUUGGCCUUCGGAAGGUGGAAGAGGGCAGUUCCGUAGUCCAAGGCCAUCCUUGGCUACAUUGUGAGGUUUUAUUUUUUGCUUGCUCUGUGUUCUGGUGUGAGGACCACUGAGGCAGCCUGGUACCAUGAUUUGUCUUUUCUCUCCUUCAAGAUCCUAAGACAUGAGACCAUCCCUGGGAGAGGGCUCUCCUACUUGCCCACCUAGGUUGGAAGCUGUUUAUCAGGUUUGCCUGUGCCUUGGCUGUGUUGCCUGGCAACCAGGUUCAGAUGGUAACAACAGUCUGCUGACAGGACAGAGGACUCUACAUCUGCUUGUCUCUUCUAGGGAGCUCUAUCCUUCACCUGGAGAGUGACUACUGUGAGACCAGUUGGGAGAGAAACUCUUCCAAGCACCUCUGUCAUGCUUUCGGCUCCUUUGCUUUUGCUUAUUAAUUUUUAUUUAAUUUGUGUGUGCUUGGUGUGUGUGUGUGUGUGUGUGUGUGUGUGUGUAUGUGUGUGUGUGCACCUGUGUGAGGGUGGACGUAUAUGUAUGUGUGCUUGUGGAGGACAAACAUUGACACCAAUUAUCUUUUAAUUUUUCCAUUAGUUAAAUUAUUUGUUCACUUUAAAUCCCGAUCACACCCCCUCUUCCUUCCAGUCUCCUGUCACACAGCUUCUCCCCCACCCCUGCUUCCCCUUCUCCUCUGAGAAGAGGGACACCCUCAUCCUGGAUACCAACCCACUCUGGAAUAUCAAGUUACUGAAGGACUGGGCAAUCUGGCACAUUGAGGCCAGAUGAGGCAGCCCAGUUAGGGGAACAGGACCCAUAGGCAGGCAACAAAGUUAGGGACAGCCCCAGCUCCAGCUGUUGGGAGACCCACAUGAAGACCAUACUGCAAAUCUGCUACAUAUGUGUGGGGACCCAUGGUCCAGCCCAUGCUAGCUCUUUGGUUGGUGGUUCAGUCUCUAUGAGCCCCUGAGGAUCCAGGUUGGUUCACUCUGUUGGUCUUCCUGUGGAGUUUCUAUCCCCUCCUAGUCCCUCAAUCCUUCUCCCAACUCUUCCACAAGAAUCCUUGAGCUCCAUCUAAUGUUUAGCUGUCGGUCUCUGCAGCUGGUUUGGUCACUGCUGAGUGGAGCCUCUCAGAGGACAGUUAUGCUAGGCUGGAGCUGGUGAGAGAGGGCUAGGAGGGGUGAAUGUAAAUCCGAGGGAUGAAUCUCUAGGGCAUGCCAGAGACCUGGGAUGGGGGAGGCUCCAGGGAGUCUAUGGUGGUGACUCUAGCUGAGACUCCUAGCAGUGGGGGAAUAAGGAGCCUGAUGUAGCCAACUCCUGUAGCCUGGCAGGACUCCCAGUGGAGGGAGGAAUAAGGACACUAAUCCCAUAAAACCUUUGACCCCAAAUUUGCCCUGCCUACAAGAAAUGCAGAGACAAAGAUGGAGCAGAGACUGAGGAAAUGGCCAACUAAUAACCGGCCCAACUUGAUACCCAUCCCAUGGGCAAGCACCAAUCCCUUUUAGUGAUACUCUGUUAUGCUGACUGAUAUAGCUAGCAUAAUUGUCUUCUUUUUUUGAGAUAGGGUCAUCACUGAAUCUGGAGCUCAUUGGUUGGCGAGACUGGCUGGCCAGCGAGCUAUGCAGAUCGGAUCCCAUGUGUCUAGGUUACAGAUGCCCACUGCUUUCUAUGUGAAUACUGGGCAUCUUAAGUCAGGUCUUUAUGCUUGUCCAGCUGAGGCAUCUCUCCAGCCCCUUCUUGUGGAGUUGAGACAGGCCUUCCUAUGCAGGGCUGGAUAGUCUCAUUUCAUAGCCCACGAUGACCUCAAACGGCAAUUAUCUCCCACUGGGAUCCUGAGUCCUGGGGUUACAGGCAUAGGCUACCAUGCCAACCUUUGCUUCUGUCCUCAUUGUCUGCUUUCUCUCACGGGAACGCAGCUUCCCAAAGAGUCAGAUGUCUAAGCUCACCUCUGCAUCCUCAGCUCAGAUGGGUUUUCCUCUUUACCAAAUAUCAGUGGUGGUGGCCGUGGGAGCAUAGUGGAAAUGUCAAAACUCAGAAGGACAGCUCCAAGUUAGGAGUUCAUGCUGGCUAGUGCACAGUGUACCUUAAACACAUUAAGCUUUCGAUUUUUAAAAAUUAAAGAGACUAAUUUUUUUUUUGUGUGUGUAAGUGUGUGUAUGUGUGUGCACACAGGCACACAGAGGCUUACUCACAUGUGAUGACUGUGUUUGGGUGCCCACCGAGGUCAGAAAAGGACAAACGAUCCAUUGGAGCUGGAGUUGCAGGCUGUGGUCAGCUGUCUGACUAGUUACUGGGAACUGAACUAAGAACCUUUGCAAGAGCAGUGUGCAUUCAUAACUGCUGAGCCGUAUCUUCGGCUCCUCUAACUUGUUACUUUCAUAUGAGAGCUCACUGUUUUACAUUGCUUGUCUCUUACUCAAAAGUCUCUAGUUCAUCUCCUUUUCCUUCUUCCACAUCCCACACACUGAGUCCCUGCAGCAUUUUGGGGAGCGUGUGCAGAACACGCGGGUCUGGAAAAGCCCGUUGGAGACGUGCACAUUUGGUAACGGCUGUGUUUUGUUGUUGCCAUAGCAACUGUUUAUGAGCCGGCACAGAUAAAUCCCCAGAGUAUUGCUUUGUCACUUUCGGAAGAUGGAUUCUUAGCCUAACACCUAUAUGUUCUCCUUGGGCAAGGGAAGGAAAUGUGGAGUUUGCUUUAUUGAGAAUUGAACAAUGCCUGCUGGCUUCUGUAACGAAGACAGCAGAGACGGAGUGCCUGACGGCAAGCAGAAAAUCAUUUCAAUAUAUAAAUAUAUAAAUAUCGCGAGAGCAUAUUCAGUCUGUAACCCCUGGAGAGAGAUCUCUAAAGGAAGCAUCCUUGCAGUGGUCAAAAAGGAGUGAUAUUCUAGGCGGACAUAUUAGAUUUCAUUUAGCAUCAAUGGUCCCUUAGGUCAGAUAACAUGUAGAACACAUUUGAAACUGCAGUUAUGAAUAUUUCAUGUCACGCCCUUUCUGAGUCUUUGAUUUCUUUUUGUAUCUUGCCUCCUUUGGGAAGAUCACCUUUUAUCCAAUGGAACGCUAGCUCCGAGCACUUGUCUGUGCCCAGGAAACAGGCCUUGGUUUUCACCAUCCUACCCUGGAGAUGAAAGGGUUUGGGAGUCAAGGGGAAACUGCGGUGGACUGACCUUUUGGGCAAAAGAUUUCUUAGAAGCGUUGUUGCCACCAUUGAACAAACAGAGAGGCAGCAGCACCGGGGGCGGAAGGGCUCGCUGGAGAGUUCAGGGUCACUAAGCAGAGUGCUGGGGGUGGACGUGGUGCCCUUUCUUAGAGGUCUCAAAGGAAAAGGGGGGGUCUCAUGAAGUCAGGAUGGCUCUGAUUCCCUGGAGACAGAAAGGGAAGGGAAGGGUGGUGUCUGUCUAAAAUGUGUAACUCUGAGGAUGUGGGGGAAUUGAGGAGGGAUACAUCCACUUGGCACACACCCAUUAUACAGAUGAGUGCUGCUCCCCGUAGCUCUCUGGUGUCCUGGAGUCUUGAAAACUGCGUGUAGGAGGGACAGCAGUGGCCACCUCUAUAUAAACUCUGGGGGCUGCGCAGCCGCAAAGGCAUCUCCUGCAGGAGGACCUAAUUGAAGACUGCCGAAGAGACCAAGGAUUGCUGAUGCAGACAAUGUCAGCCAAUUGGGAACUGCUGUUUAGAAGAGAUGCUUUCUUGGGACCAAUGGGGCGCCGGUGGAGGGUAUUAAAGGAGCUUGCAGCAGUGCUCAAAGGAGCUUGCUGCUAUGUUUGCCACCUGUUCUCAGAGUCUGUGCCGUUGAUUCUGCACCAUCUCAUCUCCAACCCCCAAGGGCAGGAAGGGUUGGCAGCGAAUCAUCCAGGGCCCAGCUGAGGUCCAAAAACUUCACUGUGGAAGUGAGAAUGACACUUACAUAGGCCUGGAGUCUGGGCAUCUGGGUAGUUGGUUAGGAGGGUAGAGAUUCACAGACAGGUUCUUGGCAGGAGGCCUGCCAUUUCCUUUACAGGAGCAAAAAGAGGCAGCUGGGGGCAGCGGACAGUCUGGUUUGUAUUCUCAGUAGGAGUAUGUUUAUCUGUUCACCUGUAUAGCUUCUGCACACAGCAUUGGUGUAGCUGGGUAUGAGGACAUGUGCCUGUAAACUCAUUAGAACAGCAGGGAGUUUAAGGCCAGCUUCAUCUACACAGCAGCUUUAAGGAAUGGUGCUACCCACAGUGGGCUGGGCCCUCUGACAUUACCUAGCAAGGAUGACAUGGCUGGCAGGAUGCCCACAGAGUAAUCUCAGAAAAGCAAUGAACUCUCUUCAGGUAUGUUUAGGUUUGUGUCAAGUCGACAAAAACUGUGAGGGACGCUACUGCAAACUAGUUUGUGGUGUUCAGCAACAUGGCUGAACACCGUGAGACCUAUAGAUCAGCCCAGGCAAUAGUGUCUUAGUUAGGGAUUCCAUUGCUGUGAAGAGAGACCAUAACCAUGGCAAAUCUUGUAAAGAAAAACAUUUAAUAGGGGCUGGCUUACAGUUUCAGAGGUUUAGUUCGUUAUCAUCAUAGCGGGAAGCAUGGUGGCAUGCAGGCAGGCGUGGUGCUGGAGAGGUAGCUGAGAGUUCUACAACUAGAUUCCCUAGGUAGAAGAAAGUGAAUGCUACACUGGGAAUGGUUUGAGCAUCUGAGACCUCAAAGUCCCUCAUUCCCAUGACAUACUCCCUCCAUCAAGGCCACACUUCCUAAUAAUGGCACUCCUUAAGGGACUAUGGGACCAUCUUUACUUACAACAGAUGGGGAUUAUUUGGAGCAGGGAGAUAGUUGAGUGGAUACACAGAUCUGCUUUCACAGUGGGGAUUAUUUGAAGGGCCACCGAGAUGGCUCAGCAUUAUGUAAAGGUGCUUGGUACUAAUGACCUGAGUUCUCUAGGACUGACAUGGUAGAGGGAAGAAAACCAACUUCCAUAAGCUGUCCUCUCAUCUCCAUAGACAUGGCUGUGCUCGUAUACAUGCAAACACGCACACGCACACACACACACACACACACACAAUAAAUGUUUAAAAAAGUUAACUACCUCCAAAUGCCAAUAGUAUUAAGGCUGAUUAUCUUAGUUAGGGUUUCGUUGCUGUGAACAGACACCAUGACCAAGGCAACUCUUAUAAGGACAACAUAUAAUUGGAGCUGGCUUACAGGUUCAGAGGUUCAGUCCAUUAUCAUCAAGGAGGGAACAUGGCAGCAUCUAGGCAGGCACGGUGCAAGAGGAGCUGAGAGUUCUACAUCUACAUCUGCUGUUAGCGGAAUACUGAUUUCCAGGAAGCUAGGGUGAGGGUCUUAAAGCCCACACCCACAGAGACACACAUACUCCAACAAGGCUACAUGCCCCUACCUGUACCAAGCAUAAAUAAACCAUAACACUAAUAAACUUUUCUUUUUAAAUGUAAAAGCAUACAUUUGGAUGGCUUUGGACAGCAGGAGGAGGUGAAAUAAAGACUUGCUAACUCCAUGUGUAUUGUGUGUAUUAGUUGCCUGGGGACAUAUCAGUGGCUUUUGGCGUUACUGUCUGUGGUAGGUUGGGCUCAUUUUGAGAAGCAGCUA